rnacentral:rRNA from 1 species
GAUGAACGCUGGCGGCGUGCCUAAUACAUGCAAGUCGAGCGAACAGACGAGGAGCUUGCUCCUCUGACGUUAGCGGCGGACGGGUGAGUAACACGUGGAUAACCUACCUAUAAGACUGGGAUAACUUCGGGAAACCGGAGCUAAUACCGGAUAAUAUAUUUAACCGCAUGGUUCAAUAGUGAAAGACGGUUUUGCUGUCACUUAUAGAUGGAUCCGCUCCGCAUUAGCUAGUUGGUAAGGUAACGGCUUACCAAGGCAACGAUGCGUAGCCGACCUGAGAGGUUGAUCGGCCACACUGGAACUGAGACACGGCCCAGACUCCUACGGGAGGCAGCAGUAGGGAAUCUUCCGCAAUGGGCGAAAGCCUGACGGAGCAACGCCGCGUGGGUGAUGAAGGUCUUCGGAUCGUAAAACUCUGUUAUUAGGGAAGAACAAAUGUGUAAGUAACUAUGCACGUCUUGACGGUACCUAAUCAGAAAGCCACGGCUAACUACGUG